rnacentral:misc_RNA from 1 species
UCACCCCUCAAGCCUGGCUUGCUGUUGGAACCUGCCCCUCACCCGGGCUGUUCCCAAAGAUAAUGACGGCGUCUGCGAGGACUCCAGUACACUGAGCUUUCGGGCACGUACUGUCAAGGACUCCAGGCCCGGUCUAACUUAUUUUAUUAUACCAA